rnacentral:rRNA from 1 species
GACGAACGCUGGCGGCGUGCUUAACACAUGCAAGUCGUACGGUAAGGCCCUUUUGGCGGUACACGAGAGGCGCACGGGUGAGUAACACGUGUGUAACUUUCCCACAACUUUGGGAUAACGCUAGGAAACUGGUCCCAAUUCCGGCAAUGUGCCUCUGCUGCAUGGUGGGGGUUGGUCAGCUCUGGCGGUUUUGGAUGGACUUGCGGCCUAUCCGCUUGUUGGUGGGGUAGUGGCCUACCAAGGCGGCGAUGGGUAGCUGGCCUGAGAGGGUGAGCGGCCACAUUGGGACUGAGGUACGGCCCAGACGCCGACGGGAGGCAGCAGGGGGGAAUAUUGCACAAUGGGCGCAAGCCGGGUGCAGAAACGCCGCGGGCGGGAAGGCGGCCUUCGGGUUGUAAACCGGUUUCAGCAGGGACGAAGCUUUUUGUGACGGUACCUGCAGAAGAAGCACCGGCUAACUACGUG